AACGAACGCUGGCGGCAUGCCUAACACAUGCAAGUCGAACGAGACCUUCGGGUCUAGUGGCGCCCGGGUGCGUAACGCGUGGGAACCUGCCCUUAGGUUCGGCAUAACUCCCCGACAGGGGUGCUAAUACCGGAUAAUGUCUUCGGCCCAAAGAUUUAUCGCCUUUGGAUGGGCCCGCGUUGGAUUAGCUAGUUGGUAGGGUAAAAGCCUACCAAGGCGACGAUCCAUAGCUGGUCUGAGAGGAUGAUCAGCCACACUGGGACUGAGACACGGCCCAGACUCCUACGGGAGGCAGCAGUGGGGAAUAGUGGAAAAUGGGCGAAAGCCUGAUCCAGCAAUGCCGCGUGAGUGAUGAAGGCAGUAGGGUUGUAAAGCUCUUUUACCCGGGAUGAUAAUGACAGUACCGGGAGAAUAAGCUCCGGCUAACUCCGUG
rnacentral:rRNA from 1 species